AUGGCUGCUCUGCUGAUUCUCGCCGCCUUGAUCUGCCGGCUUCUCCUUGUCCUGCUUGGGGGUGGCUGUCAACCAGGGUAUGUGGUUCAUGUACUUUGUGAUGGAAGAAACUUCUUCUACACCUACCUGCUUUCUCUGUCCUCCGAUGCUGCUGCAUUGGAGCCAGGCAAGGACCAGUCCAGAAGGAAGUAG
rnacentral:rRNA from 1 species